AGAGUUUGAUCCUGGCUCAGAACGAACGCUGGCGGCGUGCUUAACACAUGCAAGUCGAGUGCGCGCCUGUAGCAAUACAGGUGGCGCACGGCGCACGGGUGCGUAACACGUGGGUAAUCUGCCCUCUGAUGGGGAAUAACUCGCCGAAAGGCGAGCUAAUUCCGCAUAACAUUCCGGGAACCUUGGUUCUUGGACUCAAAGGCGUAAGUCGUCGGAGGAGGAGCCCGCGCACGAUUAGCUAGUUGGUGAGGUAAUGGCUCACCAAGGCUAUGAUCGUUAGCUGGUCUGAGAGGAUGGCCAGCCACACUGGAACUGAGACACGGUCCAGACUCCUACGGGAGGCAGCAGUGGGGAAUCUUGCACAAUGGGCGAAAGCCUGAUGCAGCGACGCCGCGUGGGGGAUGAAGCUUCUCGGAGUGUAAACCCCUUUCGACCCGGACGAAUACCUCGCAAGAGGGGUGACGGUACGGGUAUAAGAAGCCCCGGCUAACUACGUGCCAGCAGCCGCGGUAAGACGUAGGGGGCCAGCGUUGUUCGGAAUUACUGGGUGUAAAGGGUUCGUAGGCGGUGUGGCAAGUCGGGAGUGAAAUCUCUGGGCUCAACCCAGAGUCUGCUUCCGAAACUGCUGUGCUUGAGUGUGGGAGAGGCGCGUGGAAUUGCAGGUGUAGCGGUGAAAUGCGUAGAUAUCUGCAGGAACACCCGUGGCGAAAGCGGCGCGCUGGACCACUACUGACGCUGAGGAACGAAAGCUAGGGGAGCAAACAGGAUUAGAUACCCUAGUAGUCC
rnacentral:rRNA from 1 species